AAGAGAGAGAGGUCGGGCGGCAGAUCAGGCCUCGCACGACCGCUGCGGCUUGUUGGCGUCCGGCUGGAGCGGCGAUGAGGCAUGGCUGCUGGAGGAUGCAACUUGGGGUCGGGCUCCUCUCGAUCCCAGGCAAGGUGCGGACCAGAGGAGGAUCCCGAUGCGGACGGGGUGGACGCGUCCAUGGUCUGGCGACACAGGAUCGAGGGGAAUCGAAGGGAUCUCAUGGCUGCGGUUCUGGUUGAUCGGGCAUAGACACGGAGGAGAGACAGCGGGGUGGCGGCGGCUUCGGGAUUGGGGAGGAAUGGUUGGGACAGCCGAGAUUUGAGAGUUUUGUGUCCUUAAAUACAUAGGUUAGGGGCUAUUUGUACCCUACGAUCGCAAUCGUACUGUAGGAUCAAUAGAAGGUGUUUCUAGAGGGGGCGAAUAGACUACUUGACAAGAUUAAAAUCCUAGCCUUUUCCCAAUUUUAUGGUUGGUGGAAUUUAGCAAUUCUAACAAGUCUAGUACAACCUACACAUGCUAGUCAACAUAUAUGCCAGCGAAAAAGUAAAGACUUUGCACAUGUAAAAGGGAGUAGAGUUUAGGAGAUCAAACACAAAGAGGUUGACACGGCGAUUUUUGGCAUGGUUCCGAUAGGUGGUGCUAUCGUACGUCCAUGUUAGUGGAGACUUCAACCUAUGAAGGGUAACAGUUGCGGGAGUCCACGGAGGGCUCCACCCACAAAGGGUCCACGAAGAAGCGGUCUUGUCUAUUCCACCAUGGCUUCCGGCCACGAAGGACUAGCCUCACUCAUGGUAUAUCUUCACGAAGUAGGCGAUCUCCUUGCCCUUAAAAACAUCUUCAUUCAACUCCACAACACUAAGUGGGAGGCUCCCAAGCGACACCUAACCAAUCUAGGAGGCACCACCCUCCAAAAGGUAAUAGAUGUGGUAGAACGAUGAACUCCUUGCUCUUGUACUUCUAAAGAUAGUCUCCUUAGCACACAAUCACUCUCGCACGAAAUGGGCAUGGGUAGGAGAGAUUGAUUUGGUGAAAAGCAGCUUGUGGGGUGAGAGAUCAAGUUUCAAAUGAUUGGAUUGGAAUAACUUGGUCUCAACACAUGAGUAGGUGGCUCUCUCUCAGAAAAAUGAAUCUGGCAAUGAAGUUUGUGUUCUGAAUGCUUCCUCUGCGAAUGAGAGGUAGGUGGAGGAGUAUAUAUAGGUUGUCCCCAAAAUCCAACCGUUACACCUAAAGUGGCCAACUUUGUGACACCGAAGUCAUGAACUCGAUGGUACCGACUUGCACUAAAGGCAUGAUUUUAAAUCUCGGUGGAACCGAUAUACACAACUCGGUGACACCAAAAAGGUGGCUAACGGUCAGAUGGCACAACUCGGUGACACCGAUACCAAACUCAGAAAUUUCGAUUUUGUGUAUCGAGGCAACAGAAAGUUGAUCAUCUAAACUCGGUAGCAUCGACAUGGUUUCGGUUGCAUCGAUUUGGUGGCUUUGGCUAGGGUUGUGUCUGGGAUGAAAAUCGGUAGGGCCGAAUUGAGAAACUUGGUGGCACCAAUUUUGGGUAUGUGGAUUUCGACAGAAUGGUUAUGUGAGAAAAUGACUCAGUAUUUUUGGUGGCUAUCUUUGAGCACUUGAGAAACCAGUUCAUUUCACUACCUCGCCCGCUUUUAAUAGUAUUAACUUUCCUAUGGACUCAAAAAUGAUUUCUCAAAAAUAUAAAAUGAAGAGUCUUCUAGAUUGAAGCUUGGGCCAAUCGUAUUCCUUUCUUGCAUCGAGGGGCAUCUCUACAUAAUCCUUUAGCCAAUGCUCUCUAUGGACUAUUCCUGAAAUAUACUAGGUAAAAUUGUUAGUCCAAGAGACAAUGUAUGUUGUCAUGAAUUAUCAAAAUCACCAAGGGAGUAGGUGUGCUUUCAAUCUUCCCUUUUUUGGUAACUGAUGACAACAUACAAUUAAAAAAAUAUAAGCAUAAGAACAUGACUGCUUUGAAAGAUACAUGACUAGUACAAGCUCCCCCUAAGUGUGUGCAAUCCUUUUAAGGGAUAGUUGCUUUGGAAUAUAUAGGCACACACAUGGAAGAAAGGACAAGACAAGUCAUGUACAUCCUGGAUAUAAGCAUCAAACAAUGUGAAUGAAGAGCUUCCAUGAUCAAUACUCCCUCUUACAAACAAUAUGUGCAAGAAACAAGAAAUCAUCAUGAACAAGAAUAUGAUGCAUAUACUUACCUUGAGGAUCUUGAGAAUCUUAGCAGUAGGAGUACACUUGAGAAAAGAUUUGUUAGAUAACACAAGUGUAUACUAUUGUAAAGAUGCAAAGAGCUUCAAGAAUACCAAGAUAUUGAGGACAUAUUGAGAAUAGUAUUUGAUGAUAGAUACAUCUCGAAGAGAAUUAAGAACUUUCUCCCCUAAGAGUGAAUAUGUAAGAUUUUCCUCUCCCCCUGAAUAAUAGCAUGUGGAUAUUGGGAGUAGGUAGGGUAAGACAAGUUCAAUCCAAUAAAAAUGAUAACUGAAACAACGUUAUCUCUAUCCCCCUUAAUGUGUAAGGUUUCAUACAUCUCCUUUAGGUAGGUCUCCCCUUAGGCAGACCUACCCUUAGGAACAUAUAUUUCAACCUAUUAAUAUUUCUCCCCCUUUCGUUUAAGCUUAUUAGUGAUAUUUUUCCCCUUUAUAUAGGCUAAUUGGAAGCUUUUAUAUUUCUCCCCCUUUGGCAUUAAUUUCCAAAAAGGUCAGAGGGUAAGGGCACAUUGAGAGAAAGGGAUCCUGGAUACUUCUUUCUUUGAUAAGGGUUCCAUGAAUUUGGCUUUUCUCCGCCUUUGAUAGUAAGUCAGGGUUCAUUGAAUUUUCUCCCCCUUUGAUAUGGAUAAGAGUUCCUUGAACUAUCUCCCCCUAUGUUUGAGAUCCUCGAUGAUUCUUCCUCUUAUAUUUUGGGAUCAUUGAGGUUUUCUCCCCCUUGAAAAAUGAUGCUAAUACUGAUUUUGUUCUCCAAAAUGUUCAAUAAAAUCUUAGAAGGCAAUGAAACAUGGUAUCAUUGAUAAUCUUUCUCCCCCUAAGGCAAAAGACCAGAAAAUAUCAGAAAAUCAAGGACAGUGAUAAUAUCGGAGUCACCUACGCAAAGUGGUUUGAUAGAACCAAGAAUGAUAAUCACGCCUCUAGAAGAAAUUGGUUGGACCAAGUUUCCCAGAUCGGUGAGACCGGGUUGCGAAGUAAAUCAACUCCUGAACUGAAAAAUAGACAGAAACAAAAUCUAAGGAUACCAGUUUGAGAAAGAAAAUAAUAAAAAUAAUAUUUUUUAGAAAUAUACAUAAAUAUAGAUGAUAGUUGAAUGGUUCCAAGAAGAUAUGAAAUGACAAAUUUGAACCAUACAAGAAUCUCCAUUUAGAUGUGGGGCGGUUACUAGGUCACCUAUAUUAGAGUACUUAACUUGAGGGGUCAAGCAAGGAUGCUUGAUCAUAGGUCAUACUCAUCGUUAAGCGUAAAAUGGGGUUACCAUUUUUUGAUUAAGCAUUUCAAUGUCUUCAUAUCACUUGAGUUUCUUUACCUCAUGAAUUGGUGUAAAGCUUUAUCAAUGAUAUGAGUACAGACCUUCGAAUGAUGUUCAUGACUUGGCAUGUAGGCGAACUUAUUGUGGAUGCUCAAUAUUGAUGAAGAUCAUCUUGAGUUGAAAGCAAUCAUUGUCAUUUUGGUUCACUUUUCACCUACAUUCGUUAGUCAUGCAAGGAACAAGAUAUUAUAUCUGAAUGACAAGAGUGAAUGAAUUCAUCAAAUGAUAGUCAAGUAUAUGAUUUUGUUGUCUUCUUCCUUCAUCUCCGAAGAAGGGGUUGUUGAUACUUGGACAUGACAAGAUUCCUUUUGAUGUGAGUUGAUGACAAUCUUGUGGAAUGUAGUUGUAACGUCCAAGAUGCAGUCCUAUCCUUCUUUUGGCACAAGGGCCUCGACACGGAUAGAAACGCAUCUCGUCGUUUCGCAAGAAUCGAUAUCGUUACAAGUACAUGUACUGAAAAGGUGAGUAUAAGGAAUUGGCUUACACUCACCAGAAGCUACAUCAAUAUCACAUCAAUACAAAAAUAUACAGUCAUCAUGAAGAAGAGCAAGGUUUGACUACGAACGAAAUCAAACGAUAAAAGAACGACCUCCAUCCUUGCUAUCCCAGGUUGCCGGCCUGUAACACAUCCUAGAUCGAUGAUGAAGAAGAAGAAACUCCAAAUAGCACAAUCAACGCGCUCACGUCAAAUUAACUCUUUACAUGUACCUGCAACUGGUGUUGUAGUAAUCUGUGAGCCACAGGGACUCGGCAAUCUCAUUUCCAAAAGUAUCAAGACUAGCAAAGCUUGAUGGGUGAGGUAUGGUUAAGUGGUGAGGCUGCAGCAAGCGCCUAUGCAUUUAUUUGAGGUGGCUAACUUACGAGUACAAGAAUAGGAGGGGGACGAUUUACGCAUAACCGGACAUGAACUAAUAAUGAUCAAAUGAAUGAUCCUCAACACCUACUUACAUCACACAUAACCCCAUCGUGUCCUCGAUCAGAGAAGGAGCUCGCGAAAGAGACAGUCAUGGUUACGCACUCAGUUCACACAUUUUAAUUAAGCUUACUUUAAGUUAUCUAGAACCGGAUGUUAAACAAAGUUUCCACGUUGCCACAUAACCGUGGGUAUGGCUUUCUGAAAGAUUGAACCCUACAGGGGUACUCCAACUACUCCAUCACAAACUACCACAUGCUGCGACGGAAUGACCUCGAUGAGGGAAAACAUGUGAUCUUCUUGGGUUCCUAUUGAAAAGCCUCAACAUCAAGAUGGCCCAAAGUAUCCUCGCAAUCCCUCACACAAAACGCUCGAGAAAGGUAAAGCAAGUCCAGCAAGGCCACCCAAAGUGCCGACAAUCCCGAUAGGAGCCGCGUAUCUCGUUCUUAGGGAACAAUCGGAUGAGGGCAGCAUACAGUGGCCUGAUAAAAAUCACCCUAGUUGCCCCGGGUUUGCCCCGCACACGACUCUGUUUAGGAGCAGCACAAUCAGCACUAACUCCCUAUGUAUUAUGUUGAAUUACUCCUCGGGUAGCGCUAACUCCCUAUGUUUUCGGUAUUAACAAAGCUGUUAUGUUGAGAAAAUAUAGUACCAAUGUUGGUCCUUACCAGACGAGCUUUAUCACAAAACGAGAAUUUAGGGGGUCCCCAUAACAACCCCAAGCAUGUUAGCAACGCUCAUUUAUGGAACAUAACAUUGGUAGCCGAAACUAAGGCGACAAAGGUGGAACAAAACACUAGACUAAAAAGGCCAAGCCUUCCACCUUUUACCAAGUAUAUAGGUGCAUUAAUUUAAAUAGCACUAAUAAGGUGAUAUAAAAAGGAACCCAUGUUAUCACAUGGAAGCAACUACACCUGCAACUAGCAACUCUAUCAAAUGGUUAAGCAAGUGGUAACAUAACCAAUCGGUGGUUUGCUAGGUUGUAGAACAACUGAAGGUUUUCAUGGUAAUAUUGGGAGGCUUAUUAAACAGGUGGUAGGCAGCAAUACAUAGUGAUAGAAACGAUAUAACUUGCAUGGAAAUGAUAGUAGUGGUAUCUAGGAAAAUGAUCAUCUUACAUGUAAUCCCGCUUGAAAGAACGACUCCGUGAAGCAGACGAACCUACGUAGUCGAACGGAUCCUCACAUUUUGACACAUUUGUGGAACUCUAUCGAGACGACCAAACCAGAAACAAGAAUCAACACACGAUAUUAACCAUGGCACAUGAACGACAUGAUGCACAACACAUAUGAUGCAUGCUCGAUUAAAUCAUUCAAGGCACGGCAUGGCAAUUCACAAUCAAACACUACACAUUAAGUGAAGCUCAAUAUGCAACGAGUUGCAUACUGAAGAAACUCCACAAUUGAAUUAUUUAUUUCACUCCAUUGAAGUACAAAGAAAUAUUAAAUGUUGUUGAACAUGGCAAGGGGUGAAUCACAAAUAAUCUACCUAUCUAGGCAUUUUAAAUGAGGCCGGAAACGACAUAUAGCAUCUCCGAACCGACUCCACACGUUAACUUUGUAAUCUGUCCAAAUCUAUCCUAACUGCAUUUUAUGUUUGUUAAACGGCAAAACAAAGUGGAUCACGUGAUUUUACUCGUCGUUCUAGUCCAUUUACAUAAAUGGCUCAUCUCCAACGGAGCUACGCUUAAUUAACUACGGACUAAACCAUUUUUAUCACAUCGACACACAAACCAAUGCAAACAGCAUGCUAAACAGUAAAUAUGCAUGAAAGUUGGAAAAUAAUAUUCUAUGCGAAAAUCUACAUGUUCUACAUACAUAAUUUGUCGCGAUCCGACACACAGCUUAAAAACUACGGGCGUUCUAAAAUAGGCAUCUAAUGAAAAUUGCAAUUACUAGACGAAAGAAAAACUACGAGCAACAGACACAGGCUGGGCUAGCCACUGCCAAUGACAGUGGGGCCGCACAGGUGGUCAACUGGUCAACUCAAUAUCAGUCAAUCAUGGCGUUGGGCCCCGGAUAUCGUUGUCUCAUAGAAAAAAGGAAAAAAAUGGCCCAGGGUGAAACAAGAUGGCACUAGCCACUCGAUCUACUCCAUGUACCACGGCAGGAAUAAAAUGAAAAACCAAAUAACCUAACAUGUCGGACGGAUCUAGGGAGAACACAACCUUUCUGCCAUGGUUGUGAGCUUCUCACCAGCGAGGAACGGGAAGGCAGCGGCGAUGAUGUCCGGUGGCGCGGUCCGGAAGCGGUGGAUCCGAUGACACGGGCUCCAUUUCCAGCGUCAGGGGAUCAAUUCGCGGUGGACCGCUGGUGCACAAGCUGCGAGCACCCCAUCCAUGGUGGGGUUGAUGUUCCUGUUGGUCAAGAGAGAGAGAGAGAGNNNNNNNNNNNNNNNNNNNNNNNNNNNNNNNNNNNNNNNNNNNNNNNNNNNNNNNNNNNNNNNNNNNNNNNNNNNNNNNNNNNNNNNNNNNNNNNNNNNNNNNNNNNNNNNNNNNNNNNNNNNNNNNNNNAGAGAGAGAGAGCUGAGCGGGAGGGAGGAGAAGGAGAAACACGGGAGGCACGAUAGGGAAAGGAGAGGGCGCGGAGGCAGUCCCUGGAGGUGGGGCGAGGCCCAAGGGACCAUGGAGAAGCUCCGGUGGCCGGUGAUGCAUCCUGCCAGAGAAACAGAGAGAGAGAGAGAGUUGAGAAACUGGGAGAAAAAAACGAAAGAGUGGUGGAGAUAGCACGGGGACAAGGGACGGCGGCUUGAUCUCAGGUCAUCGCGACGAGGUCGCGAGGUUGGAGGAGCUCGGGAUGAACUUCUGCACGGCGCUCGGGAUGCUCCUGCAAGUGCCAGGAGGACACACUGCAGAUCGAGAGGAGGCAGAACAAGGACGGUUGUCCCCUGGUUUGUCGGGUACAGAGGAUGAGGGGAUCGAGUGGGGCGUUGGUUGGUGUGCUUAGGCCUGCUCUAGUUGGAUGCGGUGCGGAUGGAUCCCGACGAAGAAGAGUGGUGGCGGGGUGAGGAAAAACAGGGAAUUGGUCUACGGUUUGACACAUUUGGUAUGGGGUUGGUCUAUAUGCACCUAAAAGAUUAGGGUUAGGACCCUCCGAUUAAAUCAGACGGUCAAAAAUAGUAAGAUUAGGGAGUCAAGUGGACAAAUCUAUGAUGGUUUGUAAUAAAAUGGGGUUGACCCGGAUCAAACGGGCACGACCGUGUGUUACGGGUUCCGGAAGGUUUUCGAACUAGGUUGCGAACGGACCCGUGCACUGUGCAGAGACGCUAGGCGGAGAUAAGAGGGAAAACGGGCAGCCCCGCAUCGGAGUUAAAAUACCGAAACGUUCGACAAUUGACCGGCUAUAGUGCGCUAUAUAUUUAAUGAUUCGGGUAUCAAACAAACUCCUAUUGCGACGAAAUUUGGCAGGCGGCCUACUUAUAAUAAAAUAAGACCGCAUGCCAAGUUUCAACCCAAUCCGAGAAUAUUUUUGAACACUUUUAAAAACAAUAUUUUAUCGAUGUCGUGGGCGCGUGCGUGUGUGGUCAGGCUCAAAUUGGUCAACGACGAACACCGAGAGAACCGAUAACUAAUAACAGGUGCAAGUUUUGAAAACUGGAGACAACGGAGUGCCGAUGCAAUGUGGAUGAUGCACAUGAUGCGAUGAUGAAUGCGACAGACAAUCUAGCAAAACGGCAACCACGGAAUAACAGGGAAAUCUUCUGGAGCGUCGGUCUCGGGCUGUCACAACUCUCCUACACCAACAAGAGAUCUCGCCCCGAGAUCUAAGAAUGAAAAGGGGAAGAGGAAGAGAAAGAGAGGUAAAACUUAGUCGCUUCUUUGAUAAACGAGUGAAACCAAUGAAUCUUGAAGGUUGGAAGAGAUGAAGAAUGAUAUGAGAAACAAACUAGAAUUCACAAAAAAUUUCGGCAGCACUUCGAUAGGGAAUUGAGGCAAAAUUGUUAAGAUGGAAGAUCUUGAGAAGAUUCAAAACAAACUAACUAAAUUGAUAAGCAAGGAAAGAACAUGAUCUUGAUAGAACAAGAUGAUAGAUUGAAGAGAGCAACAUCACCACAACUCCGGAACAAGAGAGUAGAAACUAGAUCUUUGAGAAGAAUAGAAUGAAGAAGAAAAUGACAACUGCUAUCACAGUUGAAUUUGACAAGCAGCCUUGCAAGAAGAAUAGAACGGAGUUGUUGGAAAACCAAUAACGAAAAGAACAAGCUUGUAGUGGAUUUAUGAAAACCAUCCCAAAAUAAUGAGGUGACAACCAGCCACUAAUAGAACAAGGAUUGAUUAAGAGCAACAAGAUAUGCACAACUACUUUCACUAAGAGGAUACAUUGAGAACUAGGAUCAAUGAUAAUCACCAUAAUAGUUGCAAUCCUUGGAAAAAGCUUUAGGUGAAAUCUAAACAAAGAUAGCUCAAUGAAGAAAUAAUGGGUUGAAAAUAUCUCAUGAUCACAGAAUCGGUGGGUAUAAAUAUCUCAUUCUUUAAACAAAUUUUGUUCGAGACUCCUCCAGUAACAAGAAUGCAACAACAACACCUUAAAGGAUAAAGGAGGAAUAAUUGCACUUUGAAAUGCAAGACCAAGAAUACUUGAGGUUCCCCAACAAGAGACUUGAAGAACACCUUGAGAAUGAAAAGAUCGUGAUCCGCCUAACAGAAAACUUCAACAAAGCACCAGAAUAAUUGAGAGAUGAACGAAGAGACAACAACUGAGAAGAAUUUGAAGAUGCAAGCUGAAGGCUGAGAACGAAGAAAUAUUCUGAAACGAUGGCCUUCGAAGGAUCGAGAAUGAAAACAACUAUGAAAUGCACCAGAUAGAUAUGGAAGGAAUUUCUCAUGAGCGAAAACAAAUGACAGGAUAGCGCGAAGCUGAGAUGAAAAUCUUGAAAAUAAUGGAGCAUGAUUUAAGUGAAACUCUCCUUCGGUCUUCCAAGGUGAGAAUGAUGAGAAGGGACACCACCAAAAUUACUGAGACACUCUGGAAUAAGAAUAUGAAAAGUUGACCACAUGAUGAAAUAAUUCAGAUUGACCUUGGCGAAGGAAUAUGACUGAUGAAAUGCAUGCUUACGUCAUAAUUGAAAAGAAUUAGAGAUCUCCGAAAAACAUUACAAGAGCCAGGUAGGAUUCUGGGAAUAACAUGUGGGUUAUGGGCCCACUCAAAAGAAACCACCGUUGAAAGAUUGCUCGGGAAGAGAGAUACUGCACCGGUAUAACUGAAAACUUGAUGAGGUUAGCACCUUGAAAUAAUUGAAUGGAUUGAAAAUAAGAAACUUCUGAGAUAUCUUCAACACUUCGUAUAGAACAGAGAGGAAUGAAUAACAAGAGAGGCUUGAUAAGAAUUCCCAACACAGAAAUCUUCAGGGGGAGAAAAGGAUAUGAUGAACACCGAGAGCUUGAAUUGAGUUCAUCGGAAAAGAGAACAAGAAUGAAAAAUGAUGAACUUAACACUGGGCAUCUUCACAAUGAAUCACGGGAUAAGAGAGAAAAGAAAAGUCAGUGGAAACAUCAAUGAAUUGAAACGCACUUGGAUGAUAAUUGAAUCACUAAAGAAAAGGGCGGGAGGGCGGGGAAAAACAAAGACAACUUGGGACAAAUGAGACAAACUCCGAAAAGAAAUGAGAGAUUGAUCUUGCAAAUAUUGGAGAGGGUUGAAUUCACUUGAAGAGAAGCACACCGGAUGAAAAGAAUUGAUAUGACAACUCCGGUUUGAAAAGAAUGGAGAGACAAUUUGAUUGAGCAAAACAAUUAGCAUUCCCACAAAAUAUGAGAACACCACUUAGGAAGUUAUGAAUUCACCACUUGACAUCGAAGCAACUUGAAUUACCAUAUUCUAACAAAACAAAGGAUGAGGCUUGCGAAUUAGCGAGAACAAACAUAUAGCACAGAUUCCAUCCGAUAUUUUCAUGGAUAGGAUCGCACAGGCUCUAUCCUAUAGCAGCCAUCAUGUACAAGGCAGUGCACACGACAUACGAAGCAUCCCUGAGUCGUUGCAAGCUACAAGGACUCUUUAAGACACAACGAGAACCGCUGUAAGACGACUAUGAACAAACGUAUCCACUAGAUGUUGAACCCCAACCUCACAUCAUGAAUUUGUUGGAAGAUUGUCCUAUAAGCACUACCUGAAUUCCCACCUAAGAACUCCCGAAAUUUUAUGGUCAUGCAAUCGGGUCCACGGAUACAAGGAGUAAAAUCCAUCACUCAACUCCUAGCAAUAACACUACCCGUCCGGUGUAUCACAUCCGUCAACACAUAACCAAAGAUCUCUCAAACUCAUCUAUCUGACACCCUCGUAAUCACAAUGAUACCAAGUAUGGUGGUACCCCCGAACUCUAUACAGCAGUACUGGGGAUGCCGGGCAUAUCUCGCCACUACUAGUGUUGAAACAAUUUCGAACAUCCUUCGUCCUGAGAUACUAAGAAAUCUGAACGAUAACAAUGUGCUCAAGAAUCCCCUAGAGCUCAACUCCCUGGAAUAAAAUGAACACAACACGAGGCACCAAGACAGAACUCUGUCACAUCGACCAUCAUAUAGAUUCCAAAAAUAUCCGCGUGAUCCUAAAAAAUUUUGAGUGAGAAGAGGAGUAGAAUUAAAAUUAUUACGUCGACAUUCCUCACGAGAGCAUAGAAGCGGAGAAAAAGAAUUCUACUCUCUGAUAUAUAAGUAGACUCAAAUUAGUUUUUCACUAGACUCGACUCGGCCAAGUUCGAUCAAUCAAGGGGGCUCCUAGGUCGGUACUGCUCUGAUACCAACUUGUAACAUCCAAGAUGCAGUCCUAUCCUUAUUUUUUCAUGAGGGCCUCGACAGGAAUAGAAACGCAUCUCGUCAUUUCCCAAGAAUGGAUAUCGUUACAAGUACAUGUACUGAAAAGGUGAGUAUAAGGAGUUGGCUUACACUCGCCAGAAGCUACAUCAAUAUCACAUCAAUACAGCAAAAUACAAUCAUCAUGAAGAAGAGCAGGGUCCGACUACGGAAGAAAACAAAUGAUAAAAUAAUGACCUCCAUCCUUACUAUCCCAGGCUGCCGCCUCGAACCAUCCUAGAUCAAUGAAGAAGAAGAAGAAACUCCAAAUAGCACAAUCAGCUCGCUCACGUCAAAGUAACUCUUUAGUUGUACCUGCAAAUGGUGUUGUAGUAAUCGGUGAGCCACAAGGACUCAGCAAUCUCAUUUCCAAAGGUAUCAAGACUAGCAAAGCUUAAUGGGUGAGGUAUGGUUAAGUGGUGAGGCUGCAGCAAGCGACUAAGCAUUUAUUUGAGGUGGCUAACUUAUGAGUACAAGAAUAAGAGGGGGAUGAUCUACGCAUAAUCGUACAUGAACUAAUAGUGAUCAAAUGAAUGAUCCUGAACACCUACUUACGUAAGACAUAACCCCACCAUGUCCUCGAUCGGAGAAGGAGCUCGCGAAAGAAACAGUCAUGGUUACGCACUCAGUUGGCACAUUUUAAUUAAGCUUACUUCAAGUUAUCUAGAACCGGAUGUUAAACAAAGUUUCGAUGUUGCCACAUAACCGCGAGAACGGCUUUCCGAAAGAUUUAAUCCUGUAGGGGUUCUCCAACUAGUCCAUCACAAACUACCACACGCUGUGACGGAAUGACCUUGAUCAAGGAAAACCCGUGAUCUCCUCGGGUUCCUAUUGGAAAAUCUCAACCUCAAUAUGGCCAAAGAAUCCCCGGAAUCCCUCGCACAAGACGCUCGAGAAAGGUAAAACAAGUCCAGCAAGGCCGCCCGACGUGCCAACAAUCCUGGUAGGAGCCGCGUAUCUCGUUCUCAGGGCACAAUCCGAUGAGCGCAGCAUAUAGUGGCAUCAUAGAAAUUACCCGAGUUAUCCCGGGUUGGCCCCGCACUAGACUUUGUUUAGGACCGGCACCAUCAGCACUGGACCUCCCUGUAUUAUGUUGAAUUACUCCUCUGGUAGCGCUAACUCCCUAUGUUUUGAGUAUUAACAAAGUUAUUAUGUUGGGCAAAUAUAGUACCAAUGUUGGGCCUUGUCAGACGAUCUUUAUCCCAAACAGAGAAUCUAGAGGGUCCCCAUAACAAACCCAAGCAUGUUAGGAGCGCACAUUUAUGGAACAUAACACCGAUAGCCGAAACUAAGGCGACAAAGGAGGAACAAAACACCAGUCUAGAAAGGCCAAGCCUUCCACCUUUUACCAAGUAUAUAGGUGCAUUAAUUUAUAUAGCAUUAAUAAGGUGAUAUAACAAGGAACCCAUGUUAUCACAUGGAAGCAACUGCACCUGCAACUAGCAAUGCUAUCAAAUGGUUAAACAAGUGGUAACAUAGCUAAUCAGUGGUUUGCCAGGUUGUAGAACAGUUGAAGGUUUUCAUGGAAAUGUUGGGAGGCUUAUUAAACAGGUGGUAGGUAGCAAGACAUAGCUGUAGAAAAGAUAUAACUAGCAUGGCAAUAAUAGUAAUGGUAACUUGGUAAGUGAUCAUCUUGCAUGUAAUCCUGCUUGGAAGAAGAACGACUCCGUGAAGCAGACGAACCGAUGUAGUCGAACGGAUCCUCACAUUCCGACACGCUUGCGGACCUCUAUCGAGACGAGCAAACCAAAAACAAGAAUCAACAAACUAUAUUCACCACGGCACAUGCACGACAUGAUGCACAACACAUAUGAUGCAUGCUCGAUUAAAUCAUGCAAGGCACGACAUGGCAAAUCACACAAUCAAACAGUACACAUUAAGUGAAGCUCAAUAUGCAACGAGUUGCAUAUUGACGAAACUCCACAAUUGAAUUAUUUAGUUCACUCACAUUCAAUUACACGGGAAUAUUAAAUGUUGUUGAACAUGGAAAGGGGUGAAGCACAAAUAAUCUACCUAUCUAGGCAUUUUAAAUGAGGCCGGAAAUGACAUAUAGCAUCUCCGAACUUACCCCACAGGUUAACUUUGUAAUCUGUCCAGAUCUGUCCUAACUGCAUUUUAUGUUAGUUAAAUGGAAAAACAAGGUGGUUCACGUGAUUCUACUCGUUGUUCUAGUCCAUUUACAUAUAUGGCUCAUCUCCAAUGGAGCUACGGUUAAUUAACUACAAACUAAACCGUUUCUAUCACAUCGACACACAACCGAUGCAAACAUCAAGCUAAACAGUUUUAAAUAUGCAUGAAAGUUGAGAAAUAUUAUUCUACGUGAUAAUCUAAAUGUUCUACAUAUAUAAUUUACCGCGAUACGACACACGAUUUAAAAACUACAGGCGUUCUAAAAUAGGCAUCUAAUGAAAAUUGCAGUUCCUAGACGAAAGAAAAACUACAAGCAAUAGACACAGGCUGGGCUAGCCACUGCCAAUGAUAGUGGGGCCGCACGGGUGGUCAACUAGUCAACUUCAAGAUCAGUCAAUCGUGGCGCUGGGACCCGAUGUCAUUGUCUCAUAGAAAAAAGGAAAAAAGAUGGCCCAGCACGAAAUGUGAUUAGCCAGGGAUUCGAACCCCGGUCUCCUGGGUGAAACGAGAUGGCACUAGCCACUCGAUCUACUACAUGUGCCACGGCAGGAAUAAAAUGCAAAACCAAAUAUGGUGAAUCCGACGACUGGGGCUCCAUUCCCAGCGUUAGGAGCUCAAUUCGCGGUAGACCAUUGGUGCACAAGAUGCGAGCACCCCAUCCAUGGCGGGGUUGCGGUUCCUGUUGGUCAGAAGAGAGAGAGAGCUGAGCGGGAGGGAGGAGAAGGAGAAACACGGGAGGCACGAUAGGGAAAGGAGAGGGCGAGGAGGCAGUCCCUAGAGGUGGGGCGAGGCCCAAGGGGACCCCGGCGAAGCUCCGGUGGCCGGCGAUGCAUCCUACCAGAGAAACAGAGAGAGAGUUGAGAAACUGAGAGAGAGAGAGAAAAACGAAAGAGAGGUGGAGAUAGCAGGGGGACAGGGGACGACGGCUUGAUCUCCGAUCGUCGCAAUGACUCGUGAGGUAGGAGGAGCUCGGGAUGAACUUCUUCUCGGCGCUCGGGAUAGUCCUGCAAGUGCAAGGAGGAUGCAGGGACGCUGCAGAUCGAGAGGAGGCAGAACGAGGACGGUUGUCCCCUGCUUCGUCA
rnacentral:lncRNA from 1 species